GCCAAUAUGGUGUAGUGAUUUGAGUGCUGGACUGUGACUCUGGAGACCAGGGUUCAAUUCCCCAUUUGGCCA